UACAGAGGUCUCAAGCGUUGUUCGGAUUCAUUGGGCGUAAAGGGUGUGUAGGUGGCGCGAUAAGUCGGGUGUGAAAUUUCGGAGCUUAACUCCGAAACUGCAUUCGAUACUGGCGUGCUUGAGGACUGGAGAGGAGACUGGAAUUCAUGGUGUAGCAGUGAAAUGCGUAGAGAUCAUGAGGAAGACCAGUGGCGAAGGCGGGUCUCUGGACAGUUCCUGACACUGAGACACGAAGGCCAGGGGAGCGAACGGG
rnacentral:rRNA from 1 species